rnacentral:rRNA from 1 species
GGUUAAGCGACUAAGCGUACACGGUGGAUGCCUUGGCAGUCAGAGGCGAUGAAGGACGUGCUAAUCUGCGAUAAGCGUCGGUAAGGUGAUAUGAACCGUUAUAACCGGCGAUUUCCGAAUGGGGAAACCCAGUGUGAUUCGUCACACUAUCAUUAACUGAAUCCAUAGGUUAAUGAGGCGAACCGGGGGAACUGAAACAUCUAAGUACCCCGAGGAAAAGAAAUCAACCGAGAUUCCCCCAGUAGCGGCGAGCGAACGGGGAGCAGCCCAGAGCCUGAAUCAGUGUGUGUGUUAGUGGAAGCGU